UUGAGCUUCUAUCACUUCCACUCCACACAACUCAUUGAUAGGCCGUUACUUCCAGCCACAAAUCAAGAUGCAGAAGGCCAUGGUUAUCAUCCUUGCGUUGGCCAUUGCCACUGUUACAUUGGCCCAGUCCCACGAAGAAGCUGAAGAUGCUUCACACUUAAGAGUUCGUCGUGGCUUUGACUGUCCACUCGCCCCGUCUAAGUGUCAGUACAAGUGCAAGUCCCUUCCAGGAUACAAGGGCGGAUACUGCGACGGAUUCUUGAAAACGAGAUGCAAGUGCUACUGAAAUAUGUACGUCCUAGAAUAUGUAUAAUAUGUUCGCGUGUUUAAGGGACACGACGGGUCUAAAUAAAUCACGUUAUAAUGCUUC